rnacentral:misc_RNA from 1 species
GGAAAAAUAAAAAUUCAAAUUAAUCGCUAUAUUAAUUAUCAAAUUCUUUGAGAUGUGUAGAAUCCAAUUCUAAUCAACAGUAGUGUACUUGGAACAGCAGCAGUUGUGAAGAAGAUGAGGAUUCAGUAUCCACACAUGGGGGGGGUGUAAAUGUUAGUGUCCCAUCACAUUAAGUUCUGAUUAAUAGGAGAAACAAAAGCUGAAACUACCAUGUUCAAAAUUUUUCACAAUUAAUAGGACAAAUAUUCAGCUCCAAAAUUUUCACUACAUGACAAGAGUCAUCACUUGGAGAAGAGAAGCAAUGAUAGAGUGCAUACAAUAGCAACUAACCAUAAACAUGAUCAUCAAAAUUACAGAUUGUGACAAACAUGAACUAAAGCUUCAUGUCUUUUUCUGUGUCCCACAGCCUGAUCAGAUUGUGCCAAUAUUGGUAUGAUUAACUUCUCUUUGGCAAUGGCAUACCACCUAUAUAUCUCUUUCCCUUCUCAAUUCAAUCUAUACAUACAAUCUACACCUUACUUUCCUUUAAUAAUAUUAGGAUAAAUUCAAUCGCCAAAUCACAAAUCAAAUCUAAUCUAAUCAUAAAACUUUUUCCAAUUAAUAUCACUUCAAAUUUUAAUUUGUAGAUUUCAAGAAAAGUUAAUUAGUCGGUUGAUUAAUUAUUUAAUUAUUGAUAGAUUCUAUCAAUAAUGUAAUUUAACAGUUAUACAAUGAGAGAAAUAACUUUUCUCUUUAAAUUUGAACUCUUGAAAGUUUACUUUUUUACAUAUACGGCGAUUGGUUGCAUGGUUAAUUAAAAAGUUAUUAUCUACAAUGGUAGCAAAUUAGUUAGGCACAUUUAUGAUACUGGGAUUUGUAUAAAAACCCACUUAAUUAGAAUUGCAACUAAUGAUAUUAAUUGCCAUAAAUCUGGCAAUUCAUAACAUGCAAGAAAAAUCAUAAUAAUGAAUGAAGGAAAUCAUAUUCUAUCCAAUACCCACAACAUCUUGCUCAUCAGAUUGUAUAAAGUGAAACAAGGAACGAAAAUCAAAGUAUGUACACACCAUGUGUGAGCAAAUAUCGAAGGCAAAGAUACAGAAAAAUACAACCACGAAAGCAAUUGUUACCUGUCAUUUUGUGCUCCAAAGCAUGUGCCUUUGAAUUAUACCAUCAUCUCCAGGUCCCUCCAUUCAUCCAUCCACCUUUCAAUGUCUCUUUGUCUUCAAAGGCAUUCUCUCUUUCAUUUUUCUUUUACUUUCCUUUUCUUAGCAUAACUCGUGUGGUAAACCAUCAAUAAAUCGAAAAACCUAGGUGAUGUAUAAUUUAAGGUAAAAACCUCAACCCACAAAUUAUAUAUAAUGAUAAUAUGCAAUUUGGACUGAAUCAUGUAUGGUUUUCCUUCUCAUUAGAGCAAACAUAUAUCAAUCACUUUUUCUUGUUCUUAUCUUUUCCAUUGAAGAAGAUUGAACCUAAGCCAAAUAAAUUCCCCGAUGGAACAUUUAACACUGGAUUAACACGGACGCCAUUGCCAUAAGAUCCAUAGUUCUUCUUCAAUGGAGGUUUUUGGUAACUGGUUGAUGAGGAUGAUGAUUGAUGCUUCAUGAAUGCUUGUUUGUGCUGCUUAUGAUUAGAACUACUUUCCCUUGACAUUGGCACCCUCUUUACGCUGCUAGGUACAGACCCAGUAGAGUUGCUUCUAGAUAGAAGUGGCAAAGGACAUAAGCUCCUUCCAUAGCCACUCACACAAUUCAAACUGCUACUCCUCUUGAACCGCCAAAAUGACUUUGAGGUUUGCUUCUCCUCUGCUAGUUCAUCACUUGCACCCUUCACUUCCUUCAUCGUCUCUUUCUUGCUUGAAAUAUCUUGGCGUAGGGCAUGCAGUGGAGGCGAAGACUUAUCCAUCUGCUUUGCUGGGGCUGUCUUUUUCUUGAUUUCUGUAGGGAGAAUCUUUCCGUCGGAGAAAAGCUCAUCUGCUGGUGAUGAUUCCUGAUCGAAGCUCUUACGAGUACAGAAGUCGAAAUCAAUGCUGCCCACUGAGUUUGAUCGAAGAGGGUGUUGCUCAACAGGAACAAUGUCCGAGAGACACAAGUCAUGAGAAAAUGAAAUUCUUGGACUAAUACCAGCAGAAUUAUCUGAACAGAGUUGGAUUGCCAUUUCUUCAACUUUUUUCAAGAAAACAAGAAAAACAUUCAAGCGCAACGCUAAAUGAAAAUUUUGAGACAAUUCCAGGGUCAAGGAUCAAGGUUUUCUUAUCAAGAAAGAAAUCACUAAGAUUGGAAAAAACCUAACAAAGACUACAUUUAAUGUCAUAACAACAGACCAUAAAAAUGGAAAAUGAUGUAUUGAAAACCCAAAAUAAUAUUUUAUAAAGACAAGAGAGGAUGUAAAAGAGAACCCAAUAAAGGAUUUGUAAAAGCAAUUCUGAUGCGGGUAGCAAAUUGAAGGUUAAAGAUAAGGACCUAUAAACCAUAUAUGCAAUAAAUGGUACUAAUCCCAAGUUUCAAAAGAUGAUUACUGAGGAAGAUAAGGACCUGUGAAGUACCAUUUUGAAACGAGUUAGAACCUUGAAGCAGAGAUUUUGGGAGACUGAGUCUAACAAGAUGAGAGGUGUUGGUCGUUUGUUUGAGAAAGGGAGAGAUAAAAACAGAGACGUGAAGGGAGCUUUAGCACUAAAAAUCGAACUGGGUGGAGUUGGUUAUAGGACAAUAAUGGUCUGCUGCUAGAAACGGGUAGGCAUGUUUCCG